rnacentral:tRNA from 1 species
GCGAGACUGGCGGAAUUGGCAGACGCGCUAGACUUAGGAUCUAGUAUCGAGAGGUGUGGGGGUUCGAGUCCCCCGUCUCGCACAA